UGGGGAAUAUUGGCAAAUGGGCGAAAGCCUGAUCCAGCCAUGCCGCGUGUGUGAAGAAGGUCUUCGGCUUGUAAAGCACUUUAAGUUGGGAGGAAGGGCAUUAAACUAAUACGUUAGUGUUUUGACGUUACCGACAGAAUAAGCACCGGCUAACUCUGUGACAGCAGCCGCGGUAAUACAGAGGGUGCAAGCGUUAAUCGGAAUUACUGGGCGUAAAGCGCGCGUAGGUGGUUUGUUAAGUUGGAUGUGAAAGCCCCGGGCUCAACCUGGUAACUGCAUUCAAAACUGACUGACUAGAAGAUGGUAGAUGGUGGUGGAAUUUCCUGUGUAGCGCUGAAAUGCGUAGAUAUAGGAAGGAACACCA
rnacentral:rRNA from 1 species